GCGCCCAUAGCUCAACUGGAUAGAGUGUUUGGCUACGAACCAAAAGGUUAGGGGUUCAAGUCCUCUUGGGCGCGCCA
rnacentral:tRNA from 1 species